rnacentral:lncRNA from 7 species
UUCUCCUUUACAUUUUCCAUAUCAAAAUUUCUUCGUGGUCAACACAAACCUCCUGAUAGUGUUUACAAUUAUUUUCUGCUCUUCUUUCCAUACACUGACCCCAGAAACAAUCACUUGGAUCAACAUAAAACAAUCUCAUCAGAGCAAUAUUCUGUAAAUCACUCGGUCCUGACUAAAAUUUGGAAUAGAGUGACAUAGACCAGCUCACCAUCUCAUCUAUUUAAUCUGAAGAGAGAAGUAACAUUCAAAUGCAUCAUAAUUCAUAGGCCAAAUAUCCUGCAAUAACAUGCAAAUACAGUUUUGGAGGUCAGUGCUGUGAUCC